rnacentral:tRNA from 1 species
CCCUGGGUGGUGGAAAUGGUUAACGCAUUGGCUGCCAACCAAAAGAUUGGAGUUUCAACUCCAUCCAGAGA